GAAGCAUCAGCAGUUUCACCGAUAACGCUGCCAUCGGCGCCAACUUUCGACCACGAUGGAGCAUGCUAUCUUCCUUACUUGGAUUACGGCGUCCCUUCAGGCAGCGGCUGGCCAGCGGCAUCGUCACCGACAGUCUCAUCAGAAGAGUACAAAAGGGCGGCGGAUCCGACUUCGGCCUUCAGUGGGCACUGGAUAGCGGCGACAAUGCAUUCGUCGCUCAGAAACCCGUUUCUGUUCUACAUGCAGAUCGUCACUUUGCUGGGAGCAUAUCUCUCGUCCGAAGCAUCAGCAGUUUCACCGAUAACGCCGCCAUCGGCGCCAACUUUCGACCACGAUGGAGCAUGCUAUCUUCCUUACUUGGAUUACGGCGUCCCUUCAGGCAGCGGCUGGCCAGCGGCAUCGUCACCGACAGUCUCAUCAGAAGAGUACAAAAGGGCGGCGGAUCCGACUUCGGCCUUCAGUGGGCACUGGAUAGCGGCGACAAUGCAUUCGUCGCUCAGAAACCCGUUUCUGUUCUACAUGCAGACCGUCACUUUGCUGGGAGCAUAUCUCUCGUCCGAAGCAUCAGCAGUUUCACCGAUAACGCCGCCAUCGGCGCCAACUUUCGACCACGAUGGAGCAUGCUAUCUUCCUUACUUGGAUUACGGCGUCCCUUCAGGCAGCGGCUGGCCAGCGGCAUCGUCACCGACAGUCUCAUCAGAAGAGUACAAAAGGGCGGCGGAUCCGACUUCGGCCUUCAGUGGGCACGGGAUAGCGGCGACAAUGAAUUCGUCGCUCAGAAACCCGUUUCUGUUCUACAUGGAGGUGGAAGUCAUUGCGAGCAAAGUGAAACAGGCCUUCAAUGAUAUGCUUGAAAAUAGCAGCUGGGUGGACAAUGAAUUGCGAAAAAGCUUGAAGAAAAAGUUGGAAGAAAUGCCAUUGGGAAUAGGAUACCCGGAAACGCUAUUGAACAGGACAGCACUUGAAGCUCGCUACUUAUACUUGGAACAGCAGUCCAAGAUAUGGUCGCCCGUUUCAUGACAAGUAUGGAUUGACAGUUGGGAGAAUGCGCGGCUGCACCAGCGAGCGAAGCUACCUUCGUGCUGCGUCUCGCAUCAACGCGAACAACGCCGUGAAAGCAGCGCGCAGUGGACCGUUCCCAGUCGCAGGUGGCUUUCAAGACACGGCGACGCGUGUGUGAACGGCCGCCCGGGCCACCCGUAGUAAAUCAUGGCCCCUCCCACCCUUCCCCCGGAGCCUUGAUUGGGAUGGAAAAAGGCGCGCUUCGACCAGGCUUUCCUCCCUUUCGGUCGCUAGAUUGAGCCGGCGAUACUAGCACGCUUUCACUAGCACGUGCAGCAUAUGGCGCGCGGCGAUGAUUUUAUCGCCCUUGGACAUUAUACGGGACGGCACGGCGACACUGA